rnacentral:rRNA from 1 species
GGUUCAUUCAAAUUUCUUCCCUAUCAACUUUCGAUGUUUGGGUAUUGGCCAAACAUGGUUGCAACGGGUAACGGAGGGUUAGGGCUCGACCCCGGAGAAGGAGCCUGAGAAACGGCUACUACAUCCAAGGAAGGCAGCAGGCGCGCAAAUUACCCAAUCCCGACCGGGGAGGUAGUGACAAUAAAUACUGAUACAGGGCUCUUUUGGGUCUUGUAAUUGGAAUGAGUACAAUUUAAACCUCUUAACGAGGAACAAUUGGAGGGCAAGUCUGGUGCCAGCAGCCGCGGUAAUUCCAGCUCCAAUAGCGUAUAUUAAAGUUGUUGCAGUUAAAAAGCUCGUAGUUG